GACAGAGGAGCCAAGCGUUGUCCGGAUUGACUGGGCGUAAAGCGCACGCAGGCGGUCGCGCGCGUGGGGUGUGAAAACUGGCGGCUUAACGGCCAGGCGCCAUCCCAUACGGCGCGACUGGAGUGAUGCAGAGGUCGAUGGAAUUGCCGGUGUAGUGGUGAAAUGCGUAGAGAUCGGGCAGGAACACCCAGGGGGGAAACCAGUCGACUGGGCAUCUACUGACACUGAGGCACGAAAGCGUGGGGAUCAAACAGG
rnacentral:rRNA from 1 species